GCUUUAAAGGAGGAGGUGACUAACACCACUCAUUCCAGAAGGAAGACCAGCUUAUUUCUAGCCAUUCUUCAGCAUCGCGUCAUUGUUCAAGCAUGCGCAUGGCAUCACGUGCCGUCAGAUCAUCCGCGGUGUUUCCCCACUGGCCGGCGCGUGAGCUCCUUUCUAGCAACCUUUUUCGACAGUCUUCUCUCCACGUCUCACCUCUGAUCAACCCAAACUCGUGACUCGGUUCUCA
rnacentral:misc_RNA from 1 species